UUACAUUGCUGUAAACUUGGGUGUGCAACGCUUGUUCACUGCGUUGUCUGUUACGAAACAUGGAGCAAUUAAGGCACCGGGUGUUCAUCUCAGGGGCAGCUGUACUCCGUUUUCUGCUGGAUUAAUGCACCGCCCCAUACUGUGAUUUGGUGAUUGCCGAGUAUCUGAGGGCUGAAGCUGGAUUUUUGUUCUCCUACCGACCGAACACUGGUUCUAAAUGGUUUUAAAAAACUGAGGGUGGACCAGUAGCAGUGUGAUCUAUAAUACGGCACCUUGAAUGUGAGACUGUCUGGUAUCCCUUUUAUUGGCCCUGCAUU